rnacentral:rRNA from 1 species
CCUACGGGUGGCUGCCAGCAAAUCGGACUUGUGGUUCCUACGGCAGCACCCGCGGGUGCUCGGCUUCAAGUUCGCCAAAGGGCUGCCGCGCGCCGAGCGCAACAAUGCGAUUGACGUUUUCUUUUUGGAAAACCUGACCAGAGCGGAGCAGACGGCCUGGGAAAAGUGUUUUCGGCAGGUGCCGCAGCGCCUGACGCAUGAGGAAAAACUAGGCUGGCUGGCUCAGGUCGACCAUGUUGCGCUUAGCUCGGAUGCCUUUUUCCCAUUUCGGGAUUCAAUCGAUCGCGCUUCUGCCAGUGGUGUGCGUUAUGUCGCCCAGGCGGGCGGCUCCCUGAACGAUGCAGGGGUUAUUGAAGCCUGCAAUGAGUAUCAUAUGGUGAUGUCCCUGACGGGCAUCCGCUUGUUCCACCACUAGUCGAUACCCGAGUAGUC